UAAUUCACUUUCAGCACUUUCAGUCUUUGCAGAAUCACCACGUUCUUUGUGAGCUUCAGAAUGUUGCAUAAGUAAGCAUGAGCCUGCUGUCUAUGAAGCUAGUGACAAAACCUGUAUCGAUUUCAAUGGGGUUAGGAAAAGGGUGCUAUAUUUUCAAGGGAAACUGAUUUUUGUUUUUGAAAGCUUGCUGGAAGAGGAGAAAGAAGAAAAGAUAAAGACAAUAAUAAAAUGGUUUAUUAUUUCCAAGAGCAGGUAUGGAAACUUAGAUAACCCUGGGAUGAGCACACAAUAAAUGCAAGAGAUAGAGAUGAUUAACUUUGCACUGACAAAUCAUUCACAGUUUUGUUUGCCAUAGUUAUUUGGAAACCCGUUUCAAAUCUUGUGAUAGCUUGCAACAACCAGCCUUGUGUCUCCAAAAACUGCUGGCUGUCCCUGAUACAAAAGCCUGUAGAGGAACAAAACAAAGACCAUGAGGACAUCAGGAUUAAGCAAGGUUAGGCAAGACUUACACUUCAGAUUGGAAAAACAGCACCCAGAAAAGAGGUGGGGUCACCAGCUGAUAACUGCUCCCCAUCCCUGGUCUACAGUCUUCUGAAACUUGUUCGGGACCCUUGAUGCAAUCUGGAUGGUGGACAGUGUCUCAGCGUAGUUCCCUGCGGCAGCUGAAAUGUGAGCUAUCAUUGUGGUACGGCAGUUCAUGUUCCCCAAGGACUCCCGAAGCAACAUGGAUUUCUUCUUCCAUCUGCUCCAAUCACAUUGAAGGCAACCUGGUGUCUUUGGGACACAAACAAACAUCUACAGAAUAUACUGAGACAGUCUCACUCAUUUCACUUGUGACCUAAGGCUGCUUUGAAUCCACAGAUCCAGAGCUAAUAAGCUGCUGUAUCUCAGGUUAGUGGCCCUCCUUUCCAUCAAGAAAUAAUCAAGAUGUCAAAUUUUGUAUAUCAGUUAUUGCCACCCAAUGCAGAGUUACAAAGAAAUUAUGAACAUCUGCACAGAAAUCAAUAACAAGCCUCUCAUUUGCUAGUGCUUCUAUCAUAGCAAAACAUGAGAUGACAGGGGAAAGGGCAAAAGAAUACAUUCUGAACAUGCUGGUCUCCUGAGAAUACAUAACCCAUGCAGCCAGCAUCAGCACACUGCAGCAUGAUUCUCUUAGAGAGGCUGAAGACAGUAUUUCCAUAGCUCCUAGGUUCGUAACAGCUCCCGUCGCCACCACUCUGGUACCAGCUCUCUGCUCUUCAGAACAAGCUGUACUGGGAGCUGUACAAGGGAGGCAGAAGGGUUGAUAUUUCUGACAGUAUGACAUACGUUUUUCCACCAAUUUCAAAAUGAGUGAAGCUUUAUUUCUGCCCAAGAGUAUAAACUAAUAAUUUAGUCACCCCCACUACCCCUCAAAAAUAACUCCUUGGAAAAUAAUUUUAAAUACAGCAGGUAGAACAGUUUUGCUGAGGGGGGGAUGAGACAAAAUACAGCUAAAACAGUUAAACCUGCUGUCUAAAAUUAAGUUUAGUGAGUCUUGCCACAUAUUGCUAGAAAGCAUGUUACCUGAUGGCAUUCAUAAACAAACCAAAUUUGAGAGAUCAAAAUCACCUUCCAAGCUCGCUCUGCAUCAGGGGAGCAUGUGGAUUUUAAUAUUUCAGAAGACAGCUCUCACCAGCCUGCUUAGUUCUAAAAAGUCAAUGCAUAUUUUUAAAAAUUCACUUCACAUCAGUUCAUUGUGUACCAGCCUGGAGGCAACCACCAGCCAGAAAACUUUGAUCACCCAGCAGAAGCUAGCCGGUGGCUGAAAAGCACAAGAGGAUUGUCUCCAUUGCCUUCCUCUCAAAUGUGUUAUGAAAAUAAGAACUUCAGUAAAAAAAGUUUGUAUGGAGAAAAACAUCUUGCAGUUGCAAUGCCAUUUGAAUGCUAUUAGAAUCAUAGAAUUGUUAGGGUUGGAAAGCACCUUAAGAUCAUCUAGUUCCAAACCCCCCCCAUGGGCAGGGACACCUCACACUAAACCAUGUCACCCAAGGCUCUGUCCAACCUGGCCUUGAAUACCACCAGGGAUGCAGCAUUCACAACUUCCCUGGGCAACCCAUUCCAGUGCCUCACCACCCUCACAGUAAAGAAUUUCUUCCUUAUAUCCAAUCUAAACUUCCCCUGGUUAAGUUUUAACCUCUCACCCCUUGUCCUAUCACUACAGUCCCUAAUGAAGAGUCCCUCUCCAGCAUCCUUGUAGGCCCUGUGCUGCUAUGUGGUUGAAGCAAUAAGACAAACUGGCUGAAAUAUUCUCCAUUUACAACCACACAAUUCUCUUCAAAGAUUCAAGAGCCUGUCUCUC